UCGAGCGGUAGAGAGAAGCUUGCUUCUCUUGAGAGCGGCGGACGGGUGAKUAAUGCCUAGGAAUCUGCCUGGUAGUGGGGGAUAACGUUCGGAAACGGACGCUAAUACCGCAUACGUCCUACGGGAGAAAGCAGGGGACCUUCGGGCCUUGCGCUAUCAGAUGAGCCUAGGUCGGAUUAGCUAGUUGGUGAGGUAAUGGCUCACCAAGGCGACGAUCCGUAACUGGUCUGAGAGGAUGAUCAGUCACACUGGAACUGAGACACGGUCCAGACUCCUACGGGAGGCAGCAGUGGGGAAUAUUGGACAAUGGGCGAAAGCCUGAUCCAGCCAUGCCGCGUGUGUGAAGAAGGUCUUCGGAUUGUAAAGCACUUUAAGUUGGGAGGAAGGGCAGUUGCCUAAUACGUAACUGUUUUGACGUUACCGACAGAAUAAGCACCGGCUAACUCUGUGCCAGCAGCCGCGGUAAUACAGAGGGUGCAAGCGUUAAUCGGAAUUACUGGGCGUAAAGCGCGCGUAGGUGGUUUGUUAAGUUGGAUGUGAAAUCCCCGGGCUCAACCUGGGAACUGCAUUCAAAACUGACUGACUAGAGUAUGGUAGAGGGUGGUGGAAUUUCCUGUGUAGCGGUGAAAUGCGUAGAUAUAGGAAGGAACACCAGUGGCGAAGGCGACCACCUGGACUGAUACUGACACUGAGGUGCG
rnacentral:rRNA from 1 species